UCCUGGUUCCUGAGGCUUGGACAGCUCCAGGAGGGUUUGUGGAUGGGCCUUGGUGAUGCCCCAUGAGAUGAGACCACCAUGAGUACCCCUACUGUGGUCCCCAUGGUGCCCAUAGGCUCAUAGAUGGUCCAUGGAGCAUCCCAUGGAUGGUCCCUUUGGAUCAUCUCAUAGAUGGCCCCUUUGGGUAUCUCAUGCAUGGUCC